AUGAUUGAGACAAUUGCGCACUUCAAGGAUAUACAAAAAACCGAUCCAGACUUCUUCUAUAAGGUAAAAUAUGAUGAACAGGACAGAGUUGUCAACAUAUUUUGGGUGGAUGGGUUAGCUCGAAAAGCUUAUGCGGAGGUGUGCCACGAUUGCAUAUCGUUUGACACCACCUACAUGACCAACAUGUACAAUAUGUCGUUCGCGCCCUUCAUUAGAAUAAACCAACAUGGCCAAUCUUUCAUGCCGGGUUGCGCGUUUGUGAGGCAGGAGUUGGCAUCGAGCUUUGAUUGGGUCUUCCGAGCAUUCCUAGAGGCUAUGGAUGGCAAACCUCCUGACAACUUCAUCACCGAUCGGGAUGGUGCAAUGAGGAAGUCAAUACAGAGCAUAUUUCCAACCACCGUGCAUCGCUGUUGUCGAUGGCACAUCAUGAAAAAGGCUCAAGAAAAAGUUGGUUGGCUGUUGUGCCGGAAUCCAGGGCUCUCUGUGAAGGAAAUAGCCCUAGAGGCAAUAAUAAAGUUAUUACUUAUUUCCUCAUAUCAUGAUAAAUGUUUAUUAUUCAUGCUAGAAUUGUAUUAA
rnacentral:rRNA from 1 species